rnacentral:miRNA from 1 species
CAUGUAUUGGCUUGGCCAAAAAGUUCACUCGGGUUUUUCAUAAGUGCUCACAAGAAAACCUGAACAAACUUUUUGGCCAACCCAAUA